AGAGCGAACGCUGGCGGCGUGCUUAACACAUGCAAGUCGAGUGCGCGCCUGUAGCAAUACAGGUGGCGCACGGCGCACGGGUGCGUAACACGUGGGUAAUCUGCCCUUCGAUGGGGAAUAACUCCGGGAAACCGAAGCUAAUUCCGCAUAACAUUCCUUGAACUUCGGUUUGGGGACUCAAAGCCGUAAGGCGUCGGAGGAGGAACCCGCGCACGAUUAGCUAGUUGGUAGGGUAACGGCCUACCAAGGCUUUGAUCGUUAGCUGGUCUGAGAGGAUGGCCAGCCACACUGGAACUGAGACACGGUCCAGACUCCUACGGGAGGCAGCAGUGGGGAAUCUUGCACAAUGGGCGAAAGCCUGAUGCAGCGACGCCGCGUGGGGGAUGAAGCUUUUCGGAGUGUAAACCCCUUUCGACCCGGACGAAUGCCCCGCAAGGGGACUGACGGUACGGGUAUAAGAACGCCCCGGCUAACUACGUGCCAGCAGCCGC
rnacentral:rRNA from 1 species